rnacentral:sRNA from 1 species
AAAAGAGAUUGAUAUUAUUUUUGGUAGUGUAUAGGGGUAGAAAUGUUUCUCAUGACCCCAUUAUUAUACAUUAUUAGGAAAGAUCAAUUACAAAGGUUAGAAAAAUGCCGAGGGUGUCGAUCCAGUAUGCGAGUUCCCCUUUGUUUACUCUUCA